GUACUGGCAUUGUUGGUUUCUCCCUUCUGACGAACCAUGAUGUCAUUUAUUUGGUGUUGUGGGGAAUCAGGACUGUUACUUUGAAAAAAUUAGAGUGUUUAAAGCAGGCUCACGCUUGAAUACAUUAGCAUGGAAUAAUGAAAUAGGACGUUUGAUUCUAUUUUGUUGGUUUCUAGGAUCGACGUAAUGAUUAAUAGGGAUAGUUGGGGGCAUUAGUAUUCAAUUGUCAGAGGUGAAAUUCCUGGAUUUAUUGAAGACUAACUACUGCGAAAGCAUUUGCCAAGGAUGUUUUCAUUAAUCAAGAACGAAAGUUAGGGGAUCGAAGACGAUCAGAUACCGUCGUAGUCUUAACCAUAAACUAUGCCGACUAGGGAUCGGAUGAUGUUAAUUUUUUAAUGACUCAUUCGGCGCCUUACG
rnacentral:rRNA from 1 species